AUUGAAACCAUACAAGUUGUAUUCUUGCACACCCCUUUGCACGCCUUGCACGCCCCUUUGCACGCUCAUCCCCACUUAUGCACCCCGAGACCCCAUCGAGACCCCAUCACCCCGCAUAGACCCCAUAGAGACCCCAUUAUCCCUUGCAAUCUAUACAGGAAACCCACAUUGAAACCAUACAACUUGUAUUCUUGCACGCCCCUUUGCACGCCUUGCACGCCCCUUUGCACGCUCAUCCCCACUUAUGCACCCCGAGACCCCAUCGAGACCCCAUCACCCCACAUAGACCCCGUACAGACCCCAUUAUCGCUUGCAAUCUAUACAGGAAACCCACAUUGAAUUCCUGUAACUUGCUGUCUUGCACGCCCCUUUGCACGCCUUGCACGCCCCUUUGCACGCUCGUCCCACUUUACAUACCCCCAAACCCCAUAGAAACCCAUAACCCCGCAUAGACCCCAUAGAGACCCCAUAAUCUCCUCCUAUCUAUACGGGAAACCCACACUGAACCCAUAGAACUUGUAUUCUUGCACGCCCCUUUGCACGCCUUGCACGCCCCUUUGCACGCUUGUCCCACCACAGACACCCCAAGACAUCAUAGAGACCCCAUCACCCCGCAUAGACCCCAUAGAGACCCCAUUAUCCCUUCCAACCCGUAAGGAAAAUUCUCCUGGACUCCCUGAAUAUUUCAUUCUCGCACGCCCCUUGCACGCCUUGCACGCCCCUUUGCACUCUCAUCCCCACUUAUGCACCCCAAGACCCCAUCGAGACCCCAUAACCCCACAUAGACCCCAUAGAAACCCCAUAAUCUCUUCCUAUUUAUACAGGAAACCCACACUGAAACCAAAGAACUUGUAUUCUUGCACGCCCCUUGCAUGCCUUGCACGCCCCUUUGCACACUCGUCCCCCCUUAGACACCCCAAGACCCCAUAGAGACCCCAUCACCCCGCAUAGACCCCAUAGAGACCCCAUUAUCCCUUCCAACCCAUAAGGAAAAUCCUCCUGGACUCCCUGAAUAUUUCAUUCUCGCACGCCUCUUGCACGCCUUGCACGCCCCUUUGCACGCUCGUCCCACUUUACAUACCCCCAAACCCCAUCGAGACCCCAUAACCCCACACAGACCCCACACAGACCCCAUAAAGAUCCCAUUAUCCCUUCCAAUCUAUACAGGAAACCCACACUGAACCCGUCACCUGCUGUCUUGCACGCCCCUUGCACGCCUUGCACGACCCUUUGCACGCUCAUCCCACCUUAAAUACCCCAAAACCCCAUAGAACCCCAUAACCCCCCACAGACGCCAUAGAGAUCCCAUUAUCCCUUCCAACCUGUAUGAAAAACCCACACUGAACCUGUCACCUGCAGUCUUGCACGCCCUUUGCACGCCCCUUUGCACGCUCGUCCCCCCUUAGACACUGCAAGACCCCAUAGAGACCCCAUAACCCUGCAUAGACCCCACACAGACGCCAUAGAGAUCCCAUUAUCCCUUCCAAUCUAUACAGGAAACCCACAUUGGA
rnacentral:lncRNA from 1 species